UACGAAGGGUGCAAACGUUGCUCGGAAUUACUGGGCGUAAAGGGCGCGUAGGCGGCCUUCUAAGUCAGACGUGAAAUCCCUCGGCUCAACCGAGGAACUGCGUCUGAUACUGGAAGGCUUGAAUCCGGGAGAGGGAUGUGGAAUUCCAGGUGUAGCGGUGAAAUGCGUAGAUAUCUGGAGGAACACCGGUGGCGAAGGCGGCAUCCUGGACCGGUAUUGACGCUGAGGCGCGAAAGCUAGGGGAGCAAACGGG
rnacentral:rRNA from 1 species